rnacentral:rRNA from 1 species
CACCUGAGUACUAGUGGCACUCAACUGCUUAUCUAGGGGAAAGCGGACGGGAUCCCGAGUUUUCAACUGGUUAUGGUCGUAUGU